AUUGAACGCUGGCGGAAUGCUUUACACAUGCAAGUCGAGCGGCAGCGCGGGGCAACCUGGCGGCGAGCGGCGAACGGGUGAGUAAUACAUCGGAACGUGCCCAGACGUGGGGGAUAACUACUCGAAAGAGUGGCUAAUACCGCAUACGAUCUAAGGAUGAAAGCGGGGGAUCGCAAGACCUCGCGCGUUUGGAGCGGCCGAUGGCAGAUUAGGUAGUUGGUGGGGUAAAGGCUUACCAAGCCCGCGAUCUGUAGCUGGUCUGAGAGGAUGAUCAGCCACACUGGGACUGAGACACGGCCCAGACUCCUACGGGAGGCAGCAGUGGGGAAUUUUGGACAAUGGGCGAAAGCCUGAUCCAGCCAUUCCGCGUGCAGGAUGAAGGCCCUCGGGUUGUAAACUGCUUUUGUACAGAACGAAAAAGCUCUUUCUAAUACAGAGAGUCCAUGACGGUACUGUAAGAAUAAGCACCGGCUAACUACGUG
rnacentral:rRNA from 1 species